rnacentral:rRNA from 1 species
UACGAAGGGGGCUAGCGUUGCUCGGAAUCACUGGGCGUAAAGCGCACGUAGGCGGGUUGUUAAGUCGGGGGUGAAAUCCUGGAGCUCAACUCCAGAACUGCCUUUGAUACUGGCGACCUUGAGUCCGGGAGAGGUGAGUGGAACUGCGAGUGUAGAGGUGAAAUUCGUAGAUAUUCGCAAGAACACCAGUGGCGAAGGCGGCUCACUGGCCCGGUACUGACGCUGAGGUGCGAAAGCGUGGGGAGCGAACAGG